rnacentral:rRNA from 1 species
UACGAAGGGUGCAAACGUUGCUCGGAAUUAUUGGGUGUAAAGCGCACGUAGGCGGCAUUGCAAGUCGGAUGUGAAAUCCCUCGGCUUAACCAAGGAAGUGCAUCCGAAACUGCAGCGCUUGAGUACUUAAGAGGAUCGCGGAAUUCCCGGUGUAGAGGUGAAAUUCGUAGAUAUUCGGAAGAACACCAGUGGCGAAGGCGACUCACUGGACAUGUAUUGACGCUGAGGUGCGAAAGCGUGGGGAGCAAACAGG